CAGGCCUAACACAUGCAAGUCGAACGAAGUUAGGAAGCUUGCUUCUGAUACUUAGUGGCGGACGGGUGAGUAAUGCUUAGGAAUCUGCCUAGUAGUGGGGGAUAACUUGGGGAAACCCAAGCUAAUACCGCAUACGACCUACGGGUGAAAGGGGGCUUUUAGCUCUCGCUAUUAGAUGAGCCUAAGUCGGAUUAGCUGGUUGGUGGGGUAAAGGCCUACCAAGGCGACGAUCUGUAGCUGGUCUGAGAGGAUGAUCAGCCACACUGGGACUGAGACACGGCCCAGACUCCUACGGGAGGCAGCAGUGGGGAAUAUUGGACAAUGGGCGAAAGCCUGAUCCAGCCAUGCCGCGUGUGUGAAGAAGGCCUUUUGGUUGUAAAGCACUUUAAGUGGGGAGGAAAAGCUUAUGGUUAAUACCCAUAAGCCCUGACGUUACCCACAGAAUAAGCACCGGCUAACUCUGUGCCAGCAGCCGCGGUAAU
rnacentral:rRNA from 1 species